rnacentral:rRNA from 1 species
AGAGUUUGAUCCUGGCUCAGAUUGAACGCUGGCGGCAUGCCUUACACAUGCAAGUCGAACGGCAGCACGGGAGCAAUCCUGGUGGCGAGUGGCGAACGGGUGAGUAAAGUAUCGGAACGUGCCCAGUCGUGGGGGAUAACGUAGCGAAAAUUACGCUAAUACCGCAUACGAUCUAUGGAUGAAAGCGGGGGAUCGCAAGACCUCGCGCGAUUGGAGCGGCCGAUAUCAGAUUAGGUAGUUGGUGGGGUAAAGGCUCACCAAGCCGACGAUCUGUAGCUGGUCUGAGAGGACGACCAGCCACACUGGGACUGAGACACGGCCCAGACUCCUACGGGAGGCAGCAGUGGGGAAUUUUGGACAAUGGGCGAAA